AUUGAACGCUGGCGGCAGGCUUAACACAUGCAAGUCGAGCGGAGAUGAGGUGCUUGCACCUUAUCUUAGCGGCGGACGGGUGAGUAAUGCUUAGGAAUCUGCCUAUUAGUGGGGGACGACAUUCCGAAAGGAAUGCUAAUACAGCAUACGUCCUACGGGAGGAAGCAGGGGAGCUUCGGACCUUGCGCUAAUAGAUGAGCCUAAGUAGUAUUAGCUAGUUGGGGGGGUAAAGGCCUACCAAGGCGACGAUCUGUAGCGGGUCUGAGAGGAUGAUCCGCCACACUGGGACUGAGACACGGCCCAGACUCCUACGGGAGGCAGCAGUGGGGAAUAUUGGACAAUGGGGGGAACCCUGAUCCAGCCAUGCCGCGUGUGUGAAGAAGGCCUUAUGGUUGUAAAGCACUUUAAGCGAGGAGGAGGCUACUGAGACUAAUACUCUUGGAUAGUGGACGUUACUCGCAGAAUAAGCACCGGCUAACUCUGUGCCAGCCGCCGCCGUAA
rnacentral:rRNA from 1 species